CUAACAGGUUGUAACUAUGUGUUCACAGCUCUAAACUAACAGGUUAAAUUAACUAACAGGUUAAAUGAACUAACAGGUUAAAUUAACUAACAGGUUAAAUUAACUAACAGGUUGUAACUAUGUGUUCACAGCUCUAAACUAACAGGUUAAAUUAACUAACAGGUUAAAUUAACUAACAGGUUGUAACUAUGUGUUCACAGCUCUAAACUAACAGGUUAAAUUAACUAACAGGUUGUAACU